AGGGUUCGAUCCUGGCUCAGGAUGAACGCUAGCUACAGGCUUAACACAUGCAAGUCGAGGGGCAGCGGGAUUGUAGCAAUACAAUUGCCGGCGACCGGCGCACGGGUGAGUAACACGUAUCCAACCUUCCGGUUACUCGGGGAUAGCCUUUCGAAAGAAAGAUUAAUACCCGAUAGCAUAAGAUUUCCGCAUGGUUUUCUUAUUAAAGAUUCAUCGGUAACCGAUGGGGAUGCGUUCCAUUAGAUAGUAGGCGGGGUAACGGCCCACCUAGUCGACGAUGGAUAGGGGUUCUGAGAGGAAGGUCCCCCACAUUGGAACUGAGACACGGUCCAA
rnacentral:rRNA from 1 species